AGCAGCCGCGGUAAUUCCAGCUCCAAUAGCGUAUAUUAAAGUUGUUGCAGUUAAAAAGCUCGUAGUUGAACUUCGGGGUUUACCCAUUGGUCAGGCUUAAUUGUCUGUACUGGUGAGAUGAAUCUCUACCUUCUGAGGAACUUUCAUGCCAUUUAUUUGGUGUGAUUGGAAAUCAGGACUGUUACUUUGAAAAAUUAGAGUGUUUAAAGCAGGCUAACGUCUGAAUACAUUAGCAUGGAAUAAUGAAAUAGGACGGACUGAUUCUAUUUCGUUGGUUUCUAGGAUCACCGUAAUGAUUAAUAGGGAUAGUUGGGGGCAUUAGUAUUCAAUUGUCAGAGGUGAAAUUCUUGGAUUUACUGAAGACUAACUACUGCGAAAGCAUUUGCCAAGGAUGUUUUCAUUAAUCAAGAACGAAAGUUAGGGGAUCGAAGACGAUCAGAUACCGUCGUA
rnacentral:rRNA from 1 species